ACUGGUCUCUCCCUCUCACCUGGAUCCUAUAUAAAAAGCCCAGAUCAGUAAGUUCUGCAGCUUCAGAGACUUUCCACCACUGAAGAUCUUCAGCAGUCCGUGCUUCAGACAGCCAAGUCUACCGACAGAGUCAGGUGAAAGGGAAAAAUAACCUCCGUAAUCAUGAAGAUCCAGGUUGCCGGCUUCCUGCUGAUGCUGCUCUCUGCUGUCGAGCUCUGCGAAGGAUUAAGACGCAUCAAUGCCAUGACCGAAAAGCAAUGCGAUGCUGUAAUGGAUGCAGAAGUCAAUAAAGGGGGGGGAUGCCAGCAUGAGGAAACCUUCAUUGUGGCUUCUCUCGAUGCUGUCAAUGCCGCCUGUCAAAAUGUGAAGGAGGCUCUUGCCAAAUUUCCAGUUGUUGACUGUACACGCAAAAUGAUUAUGAAGUCUAACUUUUGUACCUAUGUAGGUAUUAAAGAUGAAGCACGUCAAGUUAGGCUUCAAUGUGUAAAUGGUAAAGCUGUGAACAUUUAAGGCUUAAACAUCGACACUGACUCCUUUGGUGUUUAAAGACUUGCUUAAAUCAGAUAAUUCCUGGCAUAUAUAAAAAUUUGAAGCUCAUGUUUAUCCUGAUAGACUCUUAAGCUACUUCUGUUUACAUUGUCAUCCGUUUCCCUACAUGUAACUAUGUCUGAACUUCCAGAGAGCCUUUUCUUUUGAGCCUUAUUACCCAUUACCAUCUUAUGUUUUGGUUUUGGCUUGUUUCUUGUAGCUGUCUCAAUCCAAAUAAACUUAUUGCUUACAAUCUGA